UACGAAGGGGGCUAGCGUUGCUCGGAAUCACUGGGCGUAAAGCGCACGUAGGCGGCUUUCUAAGUCAGGGGUGAAAUCCUGGAGCUCAACUCCAGAACUGCCUUUGAUACUGGAGAGCUUGAGUCCGGGAGAGGUGAGUGGAACUCCGAGUGUAGAGGUGAAUUCGUAGAUAUUCGGAAGAACACCAGUGGCGAAGGCGGACU
rnacentral:rRNA from 1 species